GCUUUAUCUUUUCUAAACUUUUUCUCAAGUCACGUGGGUAUCAAUUCACUUUUCUUCUUCUCCUUCUUCUCAGAUCUCUCUCUCUCUCUCUCUCUCUCUCUCUCUCUCAUGUCGCAUCCAUCUCCAGUCCAUGGGAACAACCACAAUACUUUUUCAUUUGCUCUCUCUAUCAGAUUAGCAAUCAACUGCUUAUUGUUAGGGCUUUAAGAGUAUCUACCAUGAUCUUCUAUCACGGGUGGUUUCUAUAUAUGUUUGGCUUCAUCUCAGUUAAAUGGCGAGAAUACCAUACCCAUAUGGACUGAAAUCACACUUACACUGAAGAUGCAAGACAGAUAAUUGGAAAAGAAAAGAAAAGCCUAAUUGAUUUCGGUUGAUGCUAAAGAAGUUGUACAUUCCUAGUUAUAUAUUUUAUCUUUAGCCAAUGUACUUACCAAGUUAUUAGCAUUGUAAUAUAGUAACUGAGUUUAAGCUAGAUAGUUGGUUUUUGAUUUGCUGUUGUUGCCUUGUUGGGUCUGAACGUUGUUGCAGAAAGGACUUGUUGUAAGGACAUCAAAAACUAGGGGUCAUUGGACCUUACAUAACAUUAGAGAAGGUUUGGCAAGGACUCAAGGAGUUUAUUAAAGAAGCUGUACAUAGCUAAAUUAAGUUAUCGAAAUGCGGUAUAUUCUCAUGCUAAAACAUGUCAAUGAUCCAUAUAGAGAAUUAACCAAGAAGCAGAAAGAUUUGUAUUGAAUUUGUGCCAGCCCCCAUAUGUUUGCAAUUGGAAUUUGUGUAAGCUCACAUAUCUUAUUGUAAGUGUCAUUUAAUAUUUGACUAACAGUUUUGUUCGUGUAUCUGUUUGCCUCAAAAUCGUCUUGGCCCCAAUGAGAGGCCGAGGGACUUGAAGUCCAAUUGUCCUUCUUGAUACGCAGGCGUGCCAACUCGCGGCCAAUUGGCCAAGCGAGGUUUUGAUAAGAUUUGCGCUUGAUCUGACUUUUUUCAAGUACUUGUGGUCGAGGAAGGAACCGUCUUGGCCACUGGGUUCUCUUGCUUUUGUUGCAAGGAUUUUCGGCGUCUUCACCGAUGUUGCUUCUCUUUUUGAUUUUUUGAUAUAGUUGCAGAAAGUAAAGUGCGAAAUGCAAAAGAGCAAGAAUCUAAAUGCGAAUUAAUUAAAUUGAAUGAAAUUUAAAGAGACUGAGGAGUAAAUAGCAGGAAAGAUAAAGUGUGGAAGGUAAAGAAAACGAUAAAAAUUAAAGUAGGCUAGAGAAAGAAUGAAAGAUUGAUAUUAUAGAGAAUUUGAUGUAUUGAUUUAGAGUUGUGUUGGUCGGAGACCUUUUACAAUGAGCUAAAUGCCUCCUAUUUAUACUAUUACAAACAUAACAUUUAGGAAAGAAAAUACAAUUAAGCAUAAUACAUUCAUUAAUCGCACCAUAAUUGCAUUUUUCUUGCGGCGCCAUUAUAUUGAUUUGUUCUUAAAUAUAUUCUCUAAUGCCUUCAAACUCAAUAAAAUCUUGGCAUUAAUUAUUCCAAAGAAUAAUUAUCGCUGUUAUUUCAUUCUCUUCUCAUUUGUUCUCCAAAAGUUAAUAUCUAAUAAAAUCUCAUAAAUAUGAAAUUUUAUCGAGUAUCAAGAAUAAAA